rnacentral:rRNA from 1 species
UACGGAGGGGGCUAGCGUUGUUCGGAAUCACUGGGCGUAAAGCGCACGCAGGCGGAUCGUUAAGUCAGGGGUGAAAUCCCGAGGCUCAACCUCGGAACUGCCUUUGAUACUGGCGAUCUUUGAGUCCGGGAGAGGUGAGUGGAACUCCGAGUGUAGAGGUGAAAUUCGUAGAUAUCGGGAGGAACACCAGUGGCGAAGGCGGCGAUCUGGGAAGAUACUGACGCUGAGGUGCGAAAGCGUGGGGAGCAAACAGG